rnacentral:lncRNA from 1 species
CGGAGCCUUAGCUCACACCGAACAAUAAGCUAUAAAGGGCCCCAAAAUUACUAGUGUAAAACCGUUCAAACGGGAAAACCAACGGUCUAAUCUAUAUAAACAAAACGAGAAACGAGAAACACGUAUAUAUUACAUAAACAAACGACAACUACUGUACAUCAGAUUCCUGACUUAGGACAGGUGCAAACAUUUGCAGCGGGAUUAAACGUUUUAAUGGAUCCAAACCUUCUCCCUUUUUCUGAAACAAUAGCAUAACAUCACAACAAAGAAAAACAUACGAUAAAAUAUCAAUUGGCAGACUUAACUCAAUCAAAAAAUGAUUAAACAAUG